rnacentral:rRNA from 1 species
AUUGAACGCUGGCGGCAGGCCUAACACAUGCAAGUCGAGCGGAUGAAGGGAGUUUGCUCCUGGAUUCAGCGGCGGACGGGUGAGUAAUGCCUAGGAAUCUGCCUGGUAGUGGGGGAUAACGUCCGGAAACGGGCGCUAAUACCGCAUACGUCCUGAGGGAGAAAGUGGGGGAUCUUCGGACCUCACGCUAUCAGAUGAGCCUAGGUCGGAUUAGCUAGUUGGUGGGGUAAAGGCCUACCAAGGCGACGAUCCGUAACUGGUCUGAGAGGAUGAUCAGUCACACUGGAACUGAGACACGGUCCAGACUCCUACGAGAGGCAGCAGUGGGGAAUAUUGGACAAUGGGCGAAAGCCUGAUCCAGCCAUGCCGCGUGUGUGAAGAAGGUCUUCGGAUUGUAAAGCACUUUAAGUUGGGAGGAAGGGCAGUAAGUUAAUACCUUGCUGUUUUGACGUUACCAACAGAAUAAGCACCGGCUAACUUCGUG